AACUCGAGAGCAGAGAGCACCUGCCAAGGUACAGCAAUCGCCACUGCACUAGUUCUGCCGUCUUGCGUUUCUCUGUGCGAUCUCGACCGCGGCGUCGACCAUGAGCUACCCGCCACCGGGCACCGCGUACCCGCCGCCGGGGCAGGAGGCCUACCCGCCUCCAGUCUACGGCGCUCCGCCGCCUGUCGCCGCCAGCUACCAGCAGCAGCAGGCCCCGCCGCCGGAACCGGAGGACAGCGGCGACGGCUUCUGGAAAGGAUGUUGUGCUGCGAUUUGCUGCUGCUGUCUGCUCGACACGUGCUGCUGAUCACAAGAGUUCGUACCGCCAACACCAGGAUAUCCUACGAUGAUCGAUCUACAUCUACUAGGAGCUGCUCAUAUACAGUUUGUUUCUAUCGUACGUAGUAUUUGUGCUGUUCGGAUCGAGAUUUGUAUGACGGUGUUCGGUGUAGAUCACUGCAUCGAAUUGUACUAUUACCUCCGUUCGGAAAUAAGUGGCGCUGUUUUAGUUUAUAAAUUGUACUCCUAUUACUAGUUAAUUUUGCAUCUUGGUUUUGGCCUC